CAGCCGCCGCGGUAAUACGGAGGGUGCAAGCGUUAAUCGGAAUUACUGGGCGUAAAGCGCACGCAGGCGGUCUGUCAAGUCAGAUGUGAAAUCCCCGGGCUUAACCUGGGAACUGCAUUUGAAACUGGCAGGCUAGAGUAUGGGAGAGGAUGGUAGAAUUCCAGGUGUAGCGGUGAAAUGCGUAGAGAUCUGGAGGAAUACCGAUGGCGAAGGCAGCCAUCUGGCCUAAUACUGACGCUGAGGUACGAAAGCAUGGGGAGCAAACAGGAUUAGAUACCCCGGUAGUCCCUGUCUCUUAUAC
rnacentral:rRNA from 1 species